UGGGGAAUAUUGGACAAUGGGCGCAAGCCUGAUCCAGCCAUGCCGCGUGGGUGAAGAAGGCCUUAGGGUUGUAAAGCCCUUUCGGCGGGGAAGAUGAUGACGGUACCCGCAGAAGAAGCCCCGGCUAACUCCGUGCCAGCAGCCGCGGUAAUACGGAGGGGGCAAGCGUUGUUCGGAAUUACUGGGCGUAAAGGGCGCGUAGGCGGAGCGCCGUGUCAGGGGUGAAAGGCCCGGGCUCAACCUGGAACGGCCUUUGAGACUGGCGGACUAGAGUGCGGGAGGGGAUGGCGGAAUUCCCAGUGUAGAGGUGAAAUUCGUAGAUAUUGGGAAGAACACCGGUGGCGAAGGCGGCCAUCUGGCCCGCAACUGACGCUGAGGCGCGAAAGCGUGGGGAGCAAACAGGAUUAGAUACCCCUGUAGUCC
rnacentral:rRNA from 1 species